rnacentral:rRNA from 1 species
GUCCACGCCCUAAACGAUGCUCACUAGGUGUUGGGGAAGCGAUUCCUUGGUACCGAAGCUAACGCGUGAAGUGAGCCGCCUGGUGAGUACGGCCGCAAGGUUAAACUCAAAGGAAUUGACGGGGACCCGCACAAGCGGUGGAUGAUGUGGAUUAAUUCGAUGCAACGCGAACAACCUUACCUACCCUUGACAUGUCUUGAAGGCUUCCGAGAGGAGGCUGUGCCUGAAAGGGAACCGGAACACAGGUGCUGCAUGGCUGUCGU